UGGGGAAUAUUGGGCAAUGGGCGCAAGCCUGACCCAGCCAUGCCGCGUGAGUGAUGAAGGCCUUCGGGUCGUAAAGCUCUGUGGGGAGGGAAGAAACUCCGUAUGGCUAACAUCCAUGCGGUUUGACGGUACCUCCUUAGCAAGCACCGGCUAACUCCGUGCCAGCAGCCGCGGUAAUACGGAGGGUGCAAACGUUGCUCGGAAUCAUUGGGCGUAAAGCGCACGUAGGCGGCUCGUUAAGUCGGAUGUGAAAGCCCUGGGCUCAACCCAGGAAGUGCAUACGAAACUGGCGAGCUUGAGUAUGGAAGAGGGUCGCGGAAUUCCCGGUGUAGAGGUGAAAUUCGUAGAUAUCGGGAGGAACACCAGUGGCGAAGGCGGCGACCUGGGCCAAUACUGACGCUGAGGUGCGAAAGCGUGGGGAGCAAACA
rnacentral:rRNA from 1 species